GUGAGGCAGCCAGGAUAUCCUGGGGUCUGAGGAGAGCAAAGGACUGUGAGGGUCCUGGAAGUGCACACUCAGUCUUGGCAUGGUAGGGUGAGAGGGAACUUCAGGGCAUGCUCACGUGGUUGGGCUUGACCCAUGGCCAACCCUGUAAACCCAUCCCUGGAGGGACCUCAGCACAGGCAGAUGGUGAGGAGCUGGAGACAGUGCUGCACACGUGGAUGAACCCUUACAGGAGCCUGACAGAAGAGAUCCCCUCACAACAAAAAGGCAGAUUUCAUCUUUUGUCACGUACUGCUGCAAAUAUGUCAUUUUGUUGCUGUCUCUCCUCCGUCUCAAAUAAAUAUUGCACCUAGAAGAAAAUUCAGAGAAACAGAUUAUUUCCAGUCCUGUAAGAGAGGCAGAUUCACUUCAGGAUUUCUCUCUCUGCAAUGACAAAGACUCACAUUGUGCUUUCAAGGACUUUUUUUAAUGCAUUUCUGGGUUUUUCCACUUAUGGGACAAAAGAUUAAUUGUAUCAAUAAAAAGACAAUGUGCUCUGUGAGUCAGUUCUGCUAUACUGAGGUUACAACUCCUGUAUAGAGGUCAGCUCUCUGAGGUCCCAGUAACUCCUACAAAACAUUCCA